UACAGAGGGGGCAAGCGUUAUUCGGAAUUAUUGGGCGUAAAGGGCGCGUAGGCGGCUUGGCAAGUGGAAGGUGAAAUCCCUCGGCUUAACCGGGGAACUGCGUCUGAUACUGGAUGGCUUGAAUCCGGGAGAGGGAUGCGGAAUUCCAGGUGUAGCGGUGAAAUGCGUAGAUAUCAGGAGGAACACCGAUUGCGAAGGCAGCUCGCUGGGACGUCACUGACGCUGAGACGCGAAAGCGUGGGGAGCAAACAGG
rnacentral:rRNA from 1 species